UACGUAGGGUGCGAGCGUUGUCCGGAAUUACUGGGCGUAAAGAGCUCGUAGGUGGUUUGUCGCGUUGUCCGUGAAAACUCACAGCUCAACUGUGGGCGUGCGGGCGAUACGGGCAGACUGGAGUACUGCAGGGGAGACUGGAAUUCCUGGUGUAGCGGUGGAAUGCGCAGAUAUCAGGAAGAACACCGGUGGCGAAGGCGGCUCUCUGGGCCUUACCUGACGCUGAGGAGCGAAAGCGUGGGUAGCGAACAGG
rnacentral:rRNA from 1 species